rnacentral:rRNA from 1 species
CUAAUAUUUGAUAGAGGAUGUAUUCUGCAAGGAAAUAUCUUUUAAACUCGAGCCUAAGGAUGGGGCUGCGGCUGAUUAGGUAGUUGUUGGGGUAAGCGCCUAACAAGCCAAUGAUCAGUAAGGGCUCUUAGCGGAGAGGCCCUGAGAAGGAAUCUGAGACACUAUUCCUAGCCUUACGGGGUGCAGCAGUCGGGGAAAUUUUGCAAUGCGCGAAAGCGUGACAAAGCGAGCCAGAGUGUUUCUUUUUUAAAAGAAACUCUUGUCAGCUGUAAAAAGGCUGACGAAUAAGGACUGGGCAAGACCGGUGCCAGCCGCCGCGGUAAUACCGGCGGUCCGAGUCGCAGCCAUCAUUAUUGGGUCUAAAACAUCCGUAGCUUGUUUUGCAAGUCUCUUGUGAAAUCUUAUAUCUUAAGUAUAAGGCGUGCAAGAGAUACUGCAUCGCUAGAGACCGGAAGACGUAACGAGUACAAUUAAGGUAGUGGUAAAAUACGUUAAUCUUGAUUGGACUAACAAUGGCGAAGGCACGUUACGAGGACGGAUCUGACAGUGAGGGAUGAAGGCUAGGGGCGCAAAACGGAUUAGAUACCCGUGUAGUCCUAGCAGUAAACACUGCACACUAAACAUCAGUACCUCCUCGAGAGGUAUUGGUGCUGUAGGGAAGCCGAAGAGUGUGCUACCUGGGAAGUAUAGCCGCAAGGCCGAAACUUAAAGGAAUUGGCGGGGGA